rnacentral:rRNA from 1 species
UGAGCUUGAUCCUGGCUCAGGACGAACGCUGGCGGCGUGCCUAAUACAUGCAAGUCGAGCGAACUUCUUUAGAGCUUGCUUUAAAGAAGUUAGCGGCGGACGGGUGAGUAACACGUGGGCAACCUGCCUGUAAGACUGGGAUAACUUCGGGAAACCGGAGCUAAUACCGGAUAAUAUAUAGUACCUCCUGGUACUAUAUUGAAAGUUGGUUUCGGCUAACACUUACAGAUGGGCCCGCGGCGCAUUAGCUAGUUGGUGAGGUAACGGCUCACCAAGGCAACGAUGCGUAGCCGACCUGAGAGGGUGAUCGGCCACACUGGGACUGAGACACGGCCCAGACUCCUACGGGAGGCAGCAGUAGGGAAUCUUCCACAAUGGACGAAAGUCUGAUGGAGCAACGCCGCGUGAGCGAUGAAGGCCUUCGGGUCGUAAAGCUCUGUUGUUAGGGAAGAACAAGUGCGAGAGUAACUGCUCGCACCUUGACGGUACCUAACCAGAA